rnacentral:rRNA from 1 species
UACGAGGGGGGCAAGCGUUGUUCGGAAUUAUUGGGCGUAAAGGGCGCGUAGGCGGUGCGGUAAGUCACCUGUGAAACCUCUAGGCUUAACCUAGAGCCUGCAGGCGAAACUGCCGUGCUUGAGGGUGGGAGAGGUGCGUGGAAUUCCCGAUGUAGCGGUGAAAUGCGUAGAUAUCGGGAGGAACACCUGUGGCGAAAGCGGCGCACUGGACCACAUCUGACGCUGAGGCGCGAAAGCUAGGGGAGCAAACAGG